rnacentral:lncRNA from 10 species
AAAGGCCGGUCCCCUUUUUCAGUUCUCUCGCGACCUCUAGCCACUUCCGGUUGCUAACGGUUCCCAAACAGCCCCCGAAAACGCUACGUGAGCUGGGCCCUGGGCCAGAGGCAGAAAACGGACGGAAGAAAAGGUCUGGCCGGAGAUGGGUCUCACUCUGUCACCCAGACUGGAGUGCAGUGAGUGGUGCGAUCAUAGCUUACUGCAGCCUGAAACUCCUGGGCUCAAGUGAUCUUCUCGCCUCAGCCUCCUGAGUAGCUGGAGCUACAGGUGUGAGCUACCCAGCAUGGCUCAUUUGAGAUUUCUGAGUAGAGAAGUAACAUGAUUAAACUUGGGCCUCUGACAAUAUGAUACUAAGCCAUCAUAGCCCCUGUGACCGCCACGUAUACAUCCAGAUGACCUGGAGCAACUGAAGAACCACAAAAGAUGGCAUUCCACCAUUGAGAUUUGUUCCUGCCCCACCCCAACUAAUCAAUCGACCUUGUGACAUUCCCCCUGCCCCCGACAGUGAGUCUCAUGAUCUCCCCACCCAGCACCUUGGCACCUUGUGACCCCCGCCCCUGCCCACAAGAGAUAACCACCUUUAACUGUAAUUUUCCACUACCUACCCAAAUCCUAUAAAACUGCCCCACCCCUAUCUCCCUUUGCUGACUCUCUUUUUGGACUCAGCCCACUUGCACCCAAGUGAAAUAAACAGCCUUGUUGCUCACACAAAGCCUGUUGGUGGACUCUCUUCACACAGACUCACUUGACAUUUAUAGAACACAAAAUUAAGAAUAGUGAAUAUGAAAAGGUUCACUAAUAAGAAUUUAAACAAAACAAGAAAGAUUUUUAAGAUUGCUAAAGACAAACGAUUUAUAAUAUUCAGUGUUAGGAGGUGUGUGGAUAUACAGGCAUACUUAGUUUUACAUUUUUAGAAGGUAAGACUUAUUUAGAAGGUAAGAAGUUGUCCAUACCCCUUGAUUCAACAACUUAGCUUCUUGGAAUUAUCCAUAUAGAAAUGCUUACAUAAAUGUUUGAACGUAUGUACAAAGAAGCACUAUUUAUUUAAAUUGGGAAACUUGAAUGCCUAACAUUUGGAAUUUAAAUUUUUAUAUGUCUAUUCAUUAAAAUACCACCCAGUUUUUAGAAACUAAGAGAUGCUAAAGGUAUAUUGAGUAAAAUAAAAAGUUACAAAAGAUAUGGUAUGAUUGUUUUUGUGAAAAUUAUUAUCUUAAAAAUGUUGGCCGGGCAAGGUGGCUCACACCUGUAAUCCUAGCACUUUGGGAGGCCGAGGCAGGCGGAUCACGAGGUCAAGAGAUCGAGACCAUCCUGGCCAACACGGUGAAAGCCCAUCUGUACUAAAAAUACAAAAAUUAGCUGGGCAUGGUGGCAUGUGCCUGUUAGUCCCAGCUACUUAGGAGGCUGAGGCAGGAGAAUCACUUGAACCCAGGAGGUAGAAGUUGCAGUGAGCCGAGAUCAUGCCACUGCACUCCAGCCUGGCGACAGAGUGAGACUCUGUCUUAAAAAAAAAAAAAAAAUUCACUAUGAGUAUCAGUUGGGGGUAAACUUAAGGAGAACCUGCAUUUUAUACAUUAUAUAUUUCUGGAACAUUUCAAUUUCUUAUGAAGAUUUGCUACUGGUAUAAAUGGGAAAAGAUAAUUGUUCUUAAAACCCUAUUUAUUCUCCACAACCUAUAAAAAAAUUUUCCUGUUUGGAGAAUUUCAUCAAUAUCUAUUUUCCUCCUCUGAAAUUCUUUGCCUGACAAGUCAAAGAUAAGUAAUGCAUUCACAUAAAUUUAUUAGAAAGAAUAAAUGUCCCCAGCAUCUAGUUUGACAAUAUUUUUUUGUGAAAUGUAUAUCCUUCCAUAGAUAUAUAUACCUUUUGUAGAUACAUACCUUUCAUCUUAAAGGAAUUAUGCCUUGUAAAAGGGUAUAAUUCCUUUAAUAUGAAAAUCAGAUUCAACUUCUGUGUGCUUUUUAAGGGCAAAUAUAAGUGAGCAAAUAAAUUUGUGUGGAUUAUUUAGAAAGUGUAGAUAUAAAUAAUUUUCAAAUAUGCUUUAGAACACUCUCCCACUCUGGGAAGAAAAUUUUAGAAAAAGGAUAACCCCUGCAUUUCUUUCCAUUAGAAGUACAUGAUCAAAAGACAAAGUCCCUUUUUCCCUUGACUGUGACAUAACAUGUCCCUCAUAGGCAACUGAACAGAUAAAAAAUCCAGACGAUGCUUAGUAAUUUCCUGCUUCCCCUUUAGUGCACAGUGUAUUAUCAGUAUGUUUUGCCCUCUUUAUUUAAUAUCUUGCUGAAUUAAAUUAUCUCAUCAGGUUUUUAAGCACAAGCCCAGCCUGCUUUCUGGAUGACACCUGCCACAGGUCAUCCUUCCUGAAUUUCCUAAAUAGCCCAGAAUAUUCUUCAAGCAUGCCCCUGGCUCAUCAUCCAACUUCAGAGAAUCAACUGGCUAGCACCUUGGAGCACCUGCUGUGGUAACGUGAGUGGCUGAACACCAGACAAAAGGAGGCUCCCAAUCACUGUUGCAGAUCUUGUUAAAAUCCUGGCUCUAUCCUCAGCUUAGGUGUAUUCUUCUUGUACUAGGAUAAAGCCUCUCUGACCUCUUCAUUAAGGCCUAAGUAUACAGUAUGGUAUAUGACAAGCAGGACCUUCCUCUCCUCCCCCUGUAUCUUCCCAAACUACAAAAACAGAAAGCCCCCAACCUUCUCACCCCUGCCUCACACAAAUCCCCACAGUGGACUGUUUAAAAAAUAACAGUACUUGGUAGAUAUAUAUUCUCACUUGCUUUCAUUAUAGAAAAAAGAAAGAAAAUAAAUGAACUAAACAUCCAACUCAAGGAAUUACAAAAAGGAGAAAGCCUCCUCUGCCCCCAAGGAAAAAGUUGGAAAAAAAUAAAAGUAAAAGCAGAAUAAAAUGGAU